rnacentral:rRNA from 1 species
CAGCCGCCGCGGGAAUACGUAGGGUGAAAGCGUUAAUCGGAAUUACUGGGCGUAAAGCGUGCGCAGGCGGUUAUAUAAGACAGAUGUGAAAUCCCCGGGCUCAACCUGGGAACUGCAUUUGUGACUGUAUAGCUAGAGUACGGCAGAGGGGGAUGGAAUUCCGCGUGUAGCAGUGAAAUGCGUAGAUAUGCGGAGGAACACCGAUGGCGAAGGCAAUCCCCUGGGCCUGUACUGACGCUCAUGCACGAAAGCGUGGGGAGCAAACAGGAUUAGAUACCCCGUAGUCCCUGUCUCUUAUACA